rnacentral:rRNA from 1 species
AUUGAACGCUGGCGGCAGGCCUAACACAUGCAAGUCGAACGAGUGGCGGACGGGUGAGUGAUGUCUGGGACACUGCCUGAUGUAGGGGGAUAACUACUGGAAAAGGUAGCUAAUACUGCAUACCAUCAGAUGUGCUCAGAUGGGAUUAGCUUGUUGGUGGGGUAACGGCUCACCAAGGCGACGAUCCCUAGCUGGUCUGAGAGGAUGACAAGCCACACUGGAACGGAGACACGGUCCAGACCCCUACGGGAGGCAGCAGUGGGGAAUAUUGCACAAUGGGCGCAAGCCUGAUGCAGCCAUGCCGCGUGGAUGAAGAAGGCCUUCGGGUUGUAGAGUACUUCCAGCGGGGAGGCGUUACCCGCAGAAGAAGCACCGGCUAACUCCGUGCCAGCCGCCGCGGUAAUUC